AUGAGUCUGUUAUGCUGGAACUGUCGCGGUGUUGGCAAUCCAGCGACAGUUCGAGAGCUUCGUGAUAUCACGAGGCAACUUGCCCCCUCUAUAUUAUGUAUCGUAGAAACUCAAAUAUAGGGCUCUAGAGUUGAAAGUUUGGUAGACACUUUAGGUUUCAAUAAAAGUUUUGCAGUCAGUAGUAAUGGUAGAAGUGGAGGUCUUGGAAUAUUUUGGAAUGAUGAAAUUCAGCUUGAAAUUGUUGGUUAUUUGGAAUAUCACAUUGAUGUGACAGUUGAUGCUCCCAUGGAUACAAAAACUGGGGUGACCUUCGUCUACGGGGAAGCCCAAGUUAACCAGCGAUACAAAACAUGA
rnacentral:rRNA from 1 species